GUAAUUUCUCGGACGCUGGGCUCUCUGCUUUCUCACUCCCUACUCUCUCCUCUCUAUUAGUCUCUUUCAACGCGCCCUCUCUCUCUCUCUCUCUCUCUCUGACGAUCGAUCGAGCUGGCUAGAGUUCAUCGAAGCGUUCCUCUCAAUCGUCGGCAUCAAGUUGAGCCGGUGGAGGCUUUCAAUCUUCUCGCCCUCGACGCAGCAGUGGGUCCUAUCAUCGGGGGAAGAUGAUUGGCAGUGCUAAGGCAUGUGAGGGACUCUACUACUUUGAGGAGGCAAAUACGAGUGAACAAUGUAAUACUGUAAUUUGUGUUCUACAUCUAUUUCUAGAGGUUAUGGAUGUUAAAGCUCCACUACUUCAAAUGGCAUUCAAGAAAACAUUUUCCAAGAAAGUUGUGCAUGUUGAUGAGAAAUUUUCCAUCAAAUUCAAAGGAGCACAAGUUCUUCUUACUCUAAUGGAAGCUCGUCGUGGUAAUUGUGGGGUGAAUGCUAGAGGUCCAUGGGUUGUAAGGGGCGUUGAAGUUCAUGCCAAGUACAUAGGAGAUUCGGAGGAAAAAAUGAGGAAAUUAUUCGAGUCUACUCUUGAUGACCACAAAAAAAUAUGGUAUGCCGCCUAAUUGUAUAUGCUGAAAUAUAUAGGCAUUUGCAUGUAUUUUUCAGACAAACUGAAAUAAUGAACUAUAUUAUACUUUUUAUUUUUAGGAAAUACGAGUCUGCUGCAUAUAAGUAUCGUCGAUGAAAUUGAUUCGGUGGCAAGAGUAUGUUUUGUUUUUAAUGGGAAAAAAAUUGAAUGUCUUUUUGCUAGCUAAUUUCUUCUCUGCUAAUCUAAUUUUAAUAAUGUUACUCUAUGUAGAAAAGAGGACUAUAUGUAGAGGAUGGUAAUCACAGGGUUCUAAAUCAGUUUUUAUCCCUAAUUGAUGGAUUUGACUAUUUGAAUAAUAUUUUUCUUAUCGGAACUACAAAUCAACAGGAUAUAAUUGACAAAAUAUUAUUGAGGCCCGGUCGGCUUGAACUCAAUCUAGAGAUUUCCAUUCCCAAUGAACAAGGUAGGGAACAAAUUCUAAAGGUGCAUUCAAGCAAUAUCUAGAAAGAAGGAUUCCUUCAACUGGAUUUUGAUUUCAAACAACUUGUUACAUGCCGGUCGGCUCGAACUCAAUCUAAAGAUUUCCAUUCCCAAUGAACAAGGAAGGGAACAAAUUCUAAAGGUGCAUUCAAGCGAUAUCCAGAAAAAAGGAUUCCUUCAACCGGAUUUUGAUUUCAAGCAACUCGUUACAUGCUUCUUUAAUCCAACUUCUGCUUCACUGAUUGAAAAUUGGAGUGGCGCUGAAUUGGAAUCCCUUAUUCAAGAAGCACUUUUCAGGGCUAUAGUUCGAGCUAAUGACAGUUUCCAGUGUUUUGAGGAGGAAAAGCUCAUAAUUACUGAAGAAGAUUUCCUUGUUUGUUUUUGUUAUAUUCAAAAGAUGAAGGAGCGUGGAUGGGCACAAGUCUCUUGUUGAUGGGCUGGUAUACAUGAAUGGGUAGAUGAAACGUAAUACAUGGAAAUUUUCCUUGAGAGGGUGGAACAAAUUCAGAUGAUAAUUUUCAAUUGUGUUUUCCAACAUGUUCUCCAAAAUGUAAAAAUUGUCAAGAUAAGAAUGUUUAGGUAUAACUCCUAUAGGUGUAACUCUUAUAAAAGAUAAGAUAAUUGUGAGAUUACUCACAUGGUUUGAAUACUUGUAAUUUAGGCACACAUAGUGUGCCGGUGAGGAAGAGCGAGUUAGUUACUGUGGGAGGUAAUAGAAGGGAUAAAAAUGGAUCUAAAAUAACUUGAAAUUAUAUAGUGAAUAAGGAUUUAAUAAUCCUAAAUUUGUCAAAAGAAA